UUUCCGUAGGUGAGUAACGAACAUAUCCAUAUCUAUUUCUGAGAACUUAGCUAACUUAAUCACAGGUGAACCUGCGGAAGGAUCAUUACAGAGUUUGAUCUUUUGAUUAAGAUCAUCUCCGACCCUUUGUGAACUUAAACUGUUGCUUUCACGGACCAUCUUCUCGAAGACUUUGGCUUUUGCUGGAGAGUGUCUGUGAAGGACUUUAAACUCUUAAUCUUGACAUCUGAACCUUUUAAAAUAAAUAAAACUUUCAACAACGGAUCUCUUGGUUCUGGCAUCGAUGAAGAACGCAGC
rnacentral:misc_RNA from 1 species